AAGAGACUCGCCCCCGGUGGGGCGGCCGGUCUUCAAAACCGGAUGGGGCCGCCAGCGGUCCCGGGUGGGUUCGACUCCCAUUCUCUUCC
rnacentral:tRNA from 1 species